UACGUAGGUGGCAAGCGUUGUCCGGAUUUAUUGGGCGUAAAGAGCUCGUAGGCGGCCUGUUGCGUCCGCUGUGAAAGCCCGGGGCUUAACCCCGGGUCGGCAGUGGAUACGGGCAGGCUAGAGGUAGGUAGGGGAGAAUGGAAUUCCCGGUGUAGCGGUGAAAUGCGCAGAUAUCGGGAGGAACACCGGUGGCGAAGGCGGUUCUCUGGGCCUUACCUGACGCUGAGGAGCGAAAGCGUGGGGAGCGAACAGG
rnacentral:rRNA from 1 species